UACGGGGGGAGCAAGCGUUGUUCGGAUUUACUGGGCGUAAAGGGCGCGUAGGCGGCCAGCACAAGUCAGUUGUGAAAUCUCCGAGCUUAACUCGGAACGGUCAACUGAUACUGUGCGGCUAGAGUGCAGAAGGGGCAACUGGAAUUCUUGGUGUAGCGGUGAAAUGCGUAGAUAUCAGGAGGAACACCGGUGGCGAAGGCGGGUCUCUGGGCCGAUACUGACGCUGGAGGAG
rnacentral:rRNA from 1 species